rnacentral:rRNA from 1 species
AUGAACGCUAGCGGCAGGCUAACACAUGCAAGGUCGAGGGGCAGCGGGUGUAGCAAUACAUGCCGGCGACCGGCGAAAGGGUGAGUAACGCGUGAGCAACGUGCCCGUAUGUGGGGGAUAGUCAUUGGAAACGAUGCGUAAUACCCCGUAACACAUGGAACUGCAUGGUUCUAUGUUGAAAGAUUGAUUGCAUACGGAUCGGCUCGCGUGCCAUUAGGUAGACGGCGGGGUAACGGCCCACCGUGCCGACGAUGGCUAGGGGUUCUGAGAGGAAGGUCCCCCACAUUGGAACUGAGACACGGUCCAGACUCCUACGGGAGGCAGCAGUGAGGAAUAUUGGACAAUGGCCGGAAGGCUGAUCCAGCCAUGCCGCGUGCCGGGACGACGGCCCUAUGGGUUGUAAACCGCUUUUGCGAGGGAGCAAUAAGUGCAACGUGUUGCGCGAUGAGAGUACCUCGCGAAUAAGCAUCGGCUAACUCCGUGCCAGCCGCCGC